GUCCGAGUUGUAAUUUGCAGAGGGCGCUUUGGCAUUGGCAGCGGUCCAAGUUCCUUGGAACAGGACGUCACAGAGGGUGAGAAUCCCGUACGUGGUCGCUAUCCUUUGCUGUGUAAAGCCCCUUCGACGAGUCGAGUUGUUUGGGAAUGCAGCUCUAAAUGGGAGGUAAAUUUCUUCUAAAGCUAAAUACUGGCCAGAGACCGAUAGCGCACAAGUAGAGUGAUCGAAAGAUGAAAAGCACUUUGGAAAGAGAGUCAAAUAGCACGUGAAAUUGUUGAAAGGGAAGCGCUUGCAGCCAGACUUGCCUGUAGUUGCUUAUCUGGACUUUUGUCCAGUGCACUCUUCUGCAGGCAGGCCAGCAUCAGUUUGGGCGGUUGGAUAAAGGUCUCUGUCAUGUACCUCUUUUCGGGGAGGCCUUAUAGGGGAGACGACAUGCAACCAGCCCAGACUGAGGUCCGCGCAUCUGCUAGGAUGCUGGCGUAAUGGCUGUAAGCGGCCCGUCUUGAAACACGGACCAAGGAGUCUAACAUCUAUGCGAGUGUUUGGGUGUCAAGCCCAGACGCGUAAUGAAAGUGAACGGAGGUGGGAACCCUUUGGGUGCACCAUCGACCGAUCCUGAUGUCUUCGGAAGGAUUUGAGUAAGAGCAUGGCUGUUGGGACCCGAAAGAUGGUGAACUAUGCUUGAAUAGGGUGAAGCCAGAGGAAACUCUGGUGGAGGCUCGCAGCGGUUCUGACGUGCAAAUCGAUCGUCAAAUUUGGGCAUAGGGGCGAAAGACUAAUCGAACUAUCUAGUAGCUGGUUCCUGCCGAAGUUUCCCUCAGGAUAGCAGUAACGUAUUCAGUUUUAUGAGGUAAAGCGAAUGAUUAGAGGCCUGGGGGGUUGAAACAACCUUUCACCUAUUCUCAAACUUUAAAUAUGUAAGAAGUCCUUGUUUACUUGAUUGAACGUGGACAUUUGAAUGUACCGUUACUAGUGGGCCAUUUUUGGUAAGCAGAACUGGCGAUGCGGGAUGAACCGAACGCGGGGUUAAGGUGCCAGAAUAUACGCUCAUCAGACACCACAAAAGGUGUUAGUUCAUCUAGACAGCAGGACGGUGGCCAUGGAAGUCGGAAUCCGCUAAGGAGUGUGUAACAACUCACCUGCCGAAUGAACUAGCCCUGAAAAUGGAUGGCGCUCAAGCGUAUUACCCAUACCCCGCCGCCAGGGCAGAAUUUAU
rnacentral:rRNA from 1 species